rnacentral:rRNA from 1 species
GACAGAGGAUGCAAGCGUUAUCCGGAAUGAUUGGGCGUAAAGCGUCUGUAGGUGGCUUUUUAAGUCUGCCGUCAAAUCCCAGGGCUUAACCCUGGACAGGCGGUGGAAACUACCAAGCUGGAGUACGGUAGGGGCAGAGGGAAUUUCCGGUGGAGCGGUGAAAUGCGUAGAGAUCGGAAAGAACACCGGUGGCGAAAGCGCUCUGCUGGACCUGCACUGACACUGAGGGACGAAAGCUAGGGGAGCGAAAGGG